rnacentral:lncRNA from 1 species
UUUUUUAGUUGUGGGAUAGAGGAAUUGAGAUGCUUAGUCUGAUUUUUCAAUCUUGUAAAGGUACAAAUACCAUAAUACUACAAAAUUUGCUUACAAUCUAUACUCCUUUAUUAAAAAAAGAAAAAGAAAAUAAAAGACUUGAAAACAAAAUGACGCUUACAAGGGUAGAGCCUCGUUAAAAUCUCUUCGGAGAAAAUUCAAUGGGAAACUUCGUAAGAUAAAUUAAUAGAGUACUCGUCUAUUACAACGAAAUAGAGAAAAUGACACCCACGAUACGAACGACGAAGAACCUCAAGCAAGUCUAAAACAACACUUAGAACACACCAAUAGGACCUGACAUUCUAGGACCCAAACCCCAGCGCACUGAAAGUUUGUACAAAAGUCUCCAAAGCCAUCCCAACCCAACCUUCGAAGCUGAAAAAACGACGCAGCCGACAAGCUCCAAAACCGAAAAGUAAACCCAACACCACGAAAAAAGUGAAGAAAACCAAGCCCAAGAAAAUAUUCACCCGAAAACAAGCAAAAUAGCAUAGAACAAAACCGAGGCCAUGUCAUAGAAGGAUAGAGAAGCGCACCACCUAUUUGUAAAAAAACCGACACGAGAAAAGCAUUCUCUAGUCGAAGGAUUACCAGAGAUCACAUUCUUCAAAGACCAAGUGUGGAAGCGUGUCAACAAGGAAAGCAGAUUCGUGUCUCCUUUAAGAGCAAGAUAAAUCACACAACACAAGGACCGCUUCACCUACUACACAUAGAUUUAUUUGAGCUAGUCUCUCCACUCAGCAUUAACGGGGUGGAAAGAAAAUAAAUUGGGGAAGGGGCUGGGCGGGCCGUGCCUAGUGCGGCCUUUCUUCCUUCUCUUCUAGUAUGUGUAUAGACGCGGAUUUGAUCCAACCGCAUAAUUAUCCAUGAUGUGAAAGUUGGUCAUAAUUAAAUAUAAAGUUGCAAAAUAUAUAUAUAUACAAUACAUAUAUAUUACUAAAAUUUUCGCACUUCAUUAUUACUUAAGUAAAAGUUACAAAUUUGAAACUUUUCUUAAUAUAAUAAAUUUAUAAUACAUACAAUAUUCCUCGGGCAUUGCACGAGAAGCAUUUACUAUUUGGUUAAACAUAUUGGACUUGGAAUUUUCCACUUUGACUGGACGAAAUUGUAAUUAAUAUGAUCUUCCUAAAUAAAAUACUCCCUCCGUCCCUGAAAUGGCUUCCUCUUUGGGGACGGCACGAGUUUUAAGGAAAAAUUGUAAAGUGUAUUGAUAGUGGAGAAAAAGUGUUAUAAUUAUUAUUGAAAGUUGUGAAAAUGUGUUAUAAUUAGUAUUGAGAGUGGUGAAAAGUGAAAAGUAAGAAUAAAUAAAGUAUUAUAGUAGUGGGUAGUUGUCCAAAAAUGAACAGAAAGAAAGAAGAAGUUAUUUGGGGGACGUCCCAAAAAGGAAAAAGAGGAAGUUAUUUCAGGGACGGAGGGAGUAGUACUCCAUCCACGAAAUAUUUUCCUAAAGGAGAGAUGCACGAAUUUUAAGAAAAAUUGUGUUUAUUUAUUGAGUGUAGAAAGGGGCCCACAAAUAAUAAAAAAGUGAAAAAGCUAAUUAAGUUAGUGAGUGGAGAAUGUGGCUCACAUGUUAGUGAGUGGAGAAAGCGACUCACAAAUUAUUACUAAAAAUAGAUUAAGACAAUUUUUUGUGGACGAACCAAAAUGAUAAAUUAAGACAACAUUACGUGGAUGAAGGGAGGAAUAUAUUUUUCUCUUAAAAAAUUAUUACUAUACAAAAUUUAAUGAGUGGAUUUUUAAAAUGGCCACUUUCAUAUUGUAAAGAUAAAAAAUGUCCACUAAGAUAAAAAACUUAAAAAAUGUCCACUGUUACCAAAAUACCCUUCACAUUAAAAUUAAAAAAUGUCCACUUUACAUCACCCCUUUAAAAAAUCCCGCAAUUCACAACCCGUGUGAAUUCACAACCAAAAUUUUUUGGUUGUGAAUUUACACUAGUUGUGAAUUGAGAAUUCACAACCAGUCGAAUUCACAACCAGAAUUUUUUAUUUGUGAAUUCACAACUAGUCGAAUUCACAGCCAAAAUUUAAUUCACAAUCAGUCGAAUUCACAACCAAAAUUUAAUUCACAACUAGAAUUUUUUGGUUGUGAAUUCACACCAAACGAAUUCACAACCAAAAUUUAAUUCACAACCAUAUUUAUGUUGGUUGUGAAUUCACAAUCAAUCGAAUUCACAACUAGAAUUUAUUUUGGUUGUGAAUUCAAGUAGUUGUGAAUUUGAGUUUUUAAAGUUUGAAUUCACAAUUAAAACUGUAAUUUAUUUUGAUUGUGAAUUCGAGUUUUAGUUGUGAAUUAAUAGAUCUGGUUGUGAAUUCAAGAAUAUUAAGUUGUGAAUUCAUAGAUGUGGUCGUGAAUUCAAAAACAUUAAGCUUCUGUGAAUUCAUAAAUUUGGUUGUGAAUUUAAGAACAUUAAAAAAAUAAUUAUGCAGCUCAAUCAACAAUCAAAAUACAACAAAAUAUUAUUCGAAUCAAUUCAAUCUACAAUUAAAAUACAACAAUUCCUUUGAAUCAACAAUCUCAACAUUCAAUCUCGGAAUCAACAAUCUCAACAGAUCUUAGAACGAAAAUCAUUCACAGACGUAUCAGAUCUAAACUUUUUUUCAAGGAAGUAAAACAAAAAUCCCCAAAAUUACUCAGAUAUGGAAUUAGGGUUUUUUUUGAUUGGGAAAACGCGCCGCCUCUGAGCGCGCUGCACUGCGCCUUUCCUUUCGCCGCCGAGACCACUUCCCGGCGGCCUCUUCCAGACGCCAAACACUGUCCUCAAUAACACCGCCUCCGUUCUGUACCGUGAAAGAGGAGGAGGAGAAGAAGAAGCCGAAGGAGCGCCGCCCCUACUUGACGUCGGAGAUGGCGGAGGCGACAAGACCGGGGCAGAGACGACGAGGCCUGGGCGGCGGCGCUUCGCGGCGGGGGUGAAGCAGAAGAUGGCAGAGGCGACAAGGUCGGGGGCGGCGGCGCUUCGCGGCAGGGGGCGAAGCAGGAGAUGGUGGAGGCGACGAGGCCGAGGCGGCGACGCUUCGGAUUUCAAGCCCCAAGCCGCCUGUAACCCUAGAUCUACCACGCCUGGAAGUCUAGAACCAUAGAUCUGCAACAUCCCCCCACAACCACUGCCGGAUUUGAACCAGCAACCUAAGGAUUAAAGCGGCGGCGGAGAUGAAGGCGGUGGAGAUAGACGGCGGCGGCGAUGGAGAUGAAGAUAGUCUGGAACCCUAGAUCUACCACUCCACGCCGCAGGCGAUGAGGCAGGGGCGGCGGUGGACGACGUAGAGGAGGUGCGGGGUACGGGCCUCACGGAGGAGGAAGGUGGUGGCACGGACGGCGGUGGAGGAGGAGGUGAGGAGCUCCGGGCACAUGGGGGAAGAUGCGGCGGAAGGUCGGCGACGGUGAUGCGUGGAGAAAGAGAGAGAAGAGAAAUGAGAGAGGAGAAAGAUGCGUGGAGGGAGAGAGAAGAGAAUGAGAGAGAGAAAGAGAGAGUACAUGUAUUUAAGAGAGGGUAUUUCUGUCUUUUCAACUACAAAGUGGAUAGUUUUUAUCAUUUUUAUCUUAGUGGACAUUUUUUAUCUUUACAAUAUGAAAGUGGCCAGUUUUAUAUAUUUGCUCAUUAAAAAUAUUUAGUUAUUAUUCCCACUAAAAAUUACAAAAACAGAGAUAAAACGGAAUCAAGAUUGAUUCAAAGGUUUUAUUUAUUUUAUUUUUGUAACUUAUAUUUUAAUAUAACAUAAAAGGUAAAUGUCUUUUAAUUUGUUUUUUUCCAUAUGCAUGUAUAGAUUGCAGAGAGAAUGAAAUGCAACUGAACUGUAUUUUUUCUAUUGUAUAUUAUUAUAAAAGAAUGACUCUUCCUAUGUAUCUUUCAAGCUUCUUCCAUCUUCAAAAUAUAUAGCUUAUUUAUGACAAAUGCAACCGUGAAAAUAGUUUUUUUUGGAUCAUAAAAACUGUAAAAAAGCGGCUUCGAAAUUAAAUAGGAGAUUGUUGGAUGUGUGAUUGUUUGAUUACUUAUAUUGAGAAGAAAAUUUUUGAAACAAUUAACAAUGAAUUAAUAUUACAUCUUUAAGAAUAUGAGUAAUUGUAAAAACAUAUUGUAAGGAUAUUUCAUUAUAUAUUUUUCUUAAAAAAAUAUUAUUAUUUGUCUACAUAUUUUCUCCGCCACUGUCUAUUGUGAAUAAGUCCACUUUGAAUGCUAAAUAGAAAACCAUCGUUUUUAACAAGGAGUUGAGGACACUUCAUCGUUUGGAUUCUUUGACAUCAUAAAAUAUCUAUUAGAAUAAAGUCAAAAUUUGAGGUAUUUUUAGUUUUCCUAAAACCAUGAAAAUUUGCAUCUCACUUGACAAAUACAGCCAAAUAAUUCGAUAGGUCGUCCUCUAAAAAAAAAUAUAUAUAUAUAUAAAAANACACUAUCGGCGUACUGUUGAAGAAGGACGCCUUCAAAUCAAAGACCAUGGCCAACAUGAUCUCGAUCUCGAUUGGGGUCACGAUCACUGCCUACGGCGAGGCGAAGUUCGAUUCGUUGGGGGUGAUUCUACAAUUGGGGGCGGUGACGUUCGAGGGAGAAUUCGAGAUGUGAUUUUUUUUAAUGAACGGUGUGCAUAUUAGCCCCCGAACUACCAAAAGGGAAAAUGUGCAGAUUAGCCCCUGAACUACCAAAAAACGGUGCAGAUCGCCCCCUCUGACUAACGGCCCAUAACGGUGUUAAGUCAGAGGGGGUGAUCUGCACCAUUUUUUUGAGUUCGAGGGCCAAUCUGCACACACAGUUAGUAAGAGGACUGAAAUGCUCUAAGGGCCUUCACUUGAGGGGCAUAUCUGCACCUUAACCCUUUAUAAAAUGAGCAUAUGGUGUUCAGUUGAUUGGGACUGUGUUUUACAUAUAUGAAUAGUAUACUUUUACUUAGAAAAUGAUAUUUUAAAUGAAAAUUUUAAUAUAAAAAGUAAAAUAAAAUCAAAUUUAUAAAAAUUGGCGUUGAAUUUGAAGGUCGGUCUGAAGAGCAUGCGCUGAAAGGUGGAGCGAAUGGUGCACUCAUUCUACUGGGAGCAUACCAAAGUUUGUGUUAAUUUUUAAUUAUGAAUAACUAAAUUUUACUCCCCCGUCCACCAAAACAAAAGUAUGACAUUUUUGGUGGCAUAAGUUCGAAAAAAAUUAUUGAUGAUUUUUAUAUAGUGGAGAAAGGGUCCUAUCAAAAUUUGAAAUGAGUGGUUGAAACUGAAUUGAGAACGAUUUUUUUGUAAAUAAGAGGUGUUUGUAAGUAUAAAAGAUAAGGAAAAGUGGAGUGAUAUCUUAAAAUGGAAAGUGCCAUAGUUUUUGUGGACACCCAAAAUGGCAAAAGUGUCAUACUUUUCAUAGACGGAGGGAGUAAUUAAUUUUAAUAAUUCCAUGCUAAUUAUUAAAAAAAAAAGUUUUAAUACAAACCCUAAAUAAUCCAUAAUCAACUCUUAUUUUUUAGUUGUGGGAUAGAGGAAUUGAGAUGCUUAGUCUGAUUUUUCAAUCUUGUAAAGGUACAAAUACCAUAAUACUACAAAAUUUGCUUACAAUCUAUACUCCUUUACUAAAAAAAGAAAAAGAAAAUAAAAGACAAAAUCUAUAAACACAUGAAAACAAAAUGACGCUUACAAGGGUAGAGCCUCGUUAAAAUCUCUUCGGAGAAAAUUCAAUGGGAAACUUCGUAAGAUAAAUUAAUAGAGUACUUGUAGAGGAUAAAAUCCGACUGACCAGAGGUCAACGAAAUCCUCGCCAGAGGAAUCAGCGAAUUCUCUGCUUGGGACGACUUCCCUGCUCGCCACGAAUUCUCUGCUCGGGGCGACUUCCCUGCUCGCCGCGACUCUCUGCUCAGGGCGACUUCCCUGCUCGCCGCGACUCUCUGCUUGGGACGACUUCCCUGCUCGCCGUGAAUUCUCUGCUCGGGGCGACUUCCCUGCUCGCCGCGAUUCCUCUGCUCGGGGUGACUUCCCUGCUCGCCGCGAUUCCUCUGCUCGGGGCGACUUCCCUGCUCGCCGCGAUUCCUCUGGCGCCUCGCCAGAGGAAUCAGCAAAGUCCUCGCCAGAGGAAUCAGCGAAACCCUCGCCAGAGGAAUCAGCGAAGUCCUCGCCAAAGGAGUCAGCGAUCCCUCUGCUCUGGCAGCGGAAUGAUUUCUCUGCUCUGGCAGAGGCGCGAUCCCUCCGCUCUGGCAGUGGCAUGAUUUCUCUGCUCUGGCAGCGGAAUGAUUCCUCUGCUCUGGCGGAGGAGCGAUCCCUCUGCUCUGACAGCAGCACCAUAGUAAACAUCUCGACACGAAAGCAUACAAACUGGAUUACAAGCUUACGAAAACCUAGUCAAACAUGGGUGACUAGGUCAAACGAAAGUCGCGGAAGAUCGUUUCCUAAAAAAUCGGAACCGCUAGGGUUUCAAAGAACAUUCCAACAAACCCUAACCCUAGUCGCCUCCUCGCAGGCCCAUAACCUAUAUAUACUACUUCAUUAACACAAUGAAGGGGACGCCGUCACUGACAUUCAUUCUUAUACUUACGAUCUUUCAAGCUGGUGCUAGCCCAUUCUCCAGUUCCGCCUCCACGCUCUCGACGUUCAAGGGUUUCGAUUGUUGGACUAGCCCCGCUGGCCCGGACAUUCGUCGCCCCUUGUUCCACAUCGCUCCGCAGCCUUAAAUCAACUUCCGGGAUACCCCGGUCUCCCGGAAACUUCAUUUACUAUCGUCUUUUCCUUUUUCAUUUAUUCAUUUCAGUUACGCUAUUUACGUUGAAUAUAUAUAUCCGUUCACUGACUUGAGCGUCGGAGGCCCUUCCAUCGACACCCCCACCGGUGCUCUUCGGAGGGCUCUAACGUUAUUUGUGGUCUCAGGUUGCUAGUGCCCGUCGAUCCAGACGUGACCGACGUCGCUUCCGUAAUUGUCGGAUUCACCCCCCACAGUACUCGUCUAUUACAAUGAAAUAGAGAAAAUGACACCCACAAUACGAACGACGAAGAACCUCAAGCAAGUCUAAAACAACACUUAGAACACACCAAUAGGACCUGACAUUCUAGGACUCAAACCCCAGCGCACUGAAAGUUUGUACAAAAGUCUCCAAAGCCAUCCCAACCCAACCUUCGAAGCUGAAAAAACGACGUAGCCGACAAGCUCCAAAACCGAAAAGUAAACCCAACACCACGAAAAAAGCGAAGAAAACCAAGCCCAAGAAAAUAUUCACCCGAAAACAAGCAAAAUACCAUAGAACAAAACCGAGGCCAUGUCAUAGAAGGAUAGAGAAGCGCACCACCUAUUUGUAAAAAAACCGACACAAGAAAAGCAAUCUUGCAAAGCAUUCUCUAGUCGAAGGAUUACCAGAGAUCACAUUCUUCAAAGACCAAGUGUGGAAGCGUGUCAACAAGGAAAGCAGAUUCGUGUCUCCUUUAAGAGCAAGAUAAAUCACACAACGCAAGGACCGCUUCAACUACUACACAUAGAUUUAUUUGAGCUAGUCUCUCCACUCAGCAUUAACGGGGUGGAAAGAAAAUAAAUUGGGGAAGGGGCUGGGCGGGCCGUGCCUAGUGCGGCCUUUCUUCCUUCUCUUCUAGUAUGUGUAUAGACGCGGAUUUGAU